GACGAACGCUGGCGGCGUGCUUAACACAUGCAAGUCGAACGGUGAUGCUCCAGCUUGCUGGGGUGGAUCAGUGGCGAACGGGUGAGUAACACGUGAGCAACCUGCCCCAGACUCUGGAAUAAGCGCUGGAAACGGCGUCUAAUACUGGAUACGAGACUGGCCCGCAUGGGCAUGGUUGGGAAAGUUUUUCGGUUUGGGAUGGGCUCGCGGCCUAUCAGCUUGUUGGUGAGGUAAUGGCUCACCAAGGCGACGACGGGUAGCCGGCCUGAGAGGGCGACCGGCCACACUGGGACUGAGACACGGCCCAGACUCCUACGGGAGGCAGCAGUGGGGAAUAUUGCACAAUGGGCGAAAGCCUGAUGCAGCGACGCCGCGUGAGGGAUGACGGCCUUCGGGUUGUAAACCUCUUUCAGCAGGGACGAAGCGAAAGUGACGGUACCUGCAGAAGAAGCACCGGCUAACUACGUG
rnacentral:rRNA from 1 species